rnacentral:tRNA from 1 species
AGAAUUUUUAGUAUAAGUUGUAUAUCUAAUUGUUGAUUAGAUGGUGAAAGAUUCUU